rnacentral:rRNA from 1 species
UACGGAGGGGACUAGCGUUGUUCGGAAUUACUGGGCGUAAAGCGCACGUAGGCGGAUUUGUAAGUCAGGUGUGAAAUCCCGAGGCUCAACCUCGGAACUGCCUUUGAUACUGCAAAUCUCGAGUCCGGAAGAGGUGAGUGGAAUUCCUAGUGUAGAGGUGAAAUUCGUAGAUAUUAGGAAGAACACCAGUGGCGAAGGCGGCUCACUGGUCCGGUACUGACGCUGAGGAGCGAAAGCGUGGGGAGCGAACAGG